rnacentral:rRNA from 1 species
AUUGAACGCUGGCGGCAGGCUUAACACAUGCAAGUCGAGCGGGGGAAGGUAGCUUGCUACCGGACCUAGCGGCGGACGGGUGAGUAAUGCUUAGGAAUCUGCCUAUUAGUGGGGGACGACAUCUCGAAAGGGAUGCUAAUACCGCAUACGUCCUACGAGAGAAAGCAGGGGAUCUUCGGACCUUGCGCUAAUAGAUGAGCCUAAGUCGGAUUAGCUAGUUGGUGGGGUAAAGGCCUUCCAAGGCGACGAUCUGUAGCGGGUCUGAGAGGAUGAUCCGCCACACUGGGACUGAGACACGGCCCAGACUCCUACGGGAGGCAGCAGUGGGGAAUAUUGGACAAUGGGGGGAACCCUGAUCCAGCCAUGCCGCGUGUGUGAAGAAGGCCUUAUGGUUGUAAAGCACUUUAAGCGAGGAGGAGGCUACUUUAGUUAAUACCUAGAGAUAGUGGACGUUACUCGCAGAAUAAGCACCGGCUAACUCUGUGCCAGCAGCCGCAGUAA